AGAGUUUGAUCCUGGCUCAGCCUGAACGCUGGCGGCGUGGCUAAGACAUGCAAGUCGAACGGGCCCAGCAAUGGGUCAGUGGCGGACGGGUGAGUAAUGUAUCGCUAAUGUGCCCCGGAGCCUGGGAUAGCCAGCCGAAAGGCUGGGUAAUACCAGAUGAUAUAUCUUUGUCGCAUGGCAGAGAUCUCAAAGCAGCAAUGCACUCUGGGAGCAGGCGAUAUCGUAUCAGCUAGUUGGUGAGGUAACGGCUCACCAAGGCGACGACGCGUAGCUGGUCUGAGAGGACGGCCAGCCACAUUGGGACUGAGACACUGCCCAGACUCCUACGGGGGGCUGCAGUAACGAAUCUUCCGCAAUGCACGAAAGUGUGACGGAGCGACGCCGCGUGUAGGAGAAGUCCUUCGGGAUGUAAACUACUGUCAGGGGAAAGAAAGUUCUGAUCUACCCCAGAGGAAGAGGCGGCUAACUCUGUGCCAGCAGCCGCGGUAAUACAGAGGCCUCGAGCGUUAGGCGGAAUCACUGGGCUUAAAGCGUGUGUAGGCGGACGGCUAAGUACCUUGUGAAAUCCCACGGCUCAACCGUGGAACCGCUUGGUAUACUGGUUGUCUUGAGCCACUUAGGGGUUACCGGAACAAAUGGUGGAGCGGUGAAAUGCGUAGAUAUCAUUUGGAACGCCAAUGGUGAAAACAGGUAACUGGGAGUGUGCUGACGCUGAGACACGAAAGCCAGGGGAGCGAACGGGAUUAGAUACCCCAGUAGUCC
rnacentral:rRNA from 1 species